CAGCCGUGGCCGUCGUAGACGCCAAAAUAAUGCAAUUCAAUGGUGGAUUCUUCGUCUUUGCGACAGAAAGAUGGGUAAAUUGCCACUGCGUCUUCCAUAUCUCUUCUCCUUCCACAGACUGAAGCGACCCCGAAUUUUGGAAAGAAGUCUGGAUCUAUGGCAGGGGGUGAAAAAUCAGACUCAAAGACUUGUUCGAAAUUACAAUUUCUUUAGUCUCCGAUUUUCUAUUUUCAACCUUGAGAGCGACUCUUUCAUCUUGGUGUUUCACAACAGAGUCCUCGCAGUCGUCUCCGCCAGAAGCAUGCAAUGACGCCGUGUGAAUUUCUAUUUUCUGGCGUUUAUUACUUUCCUCCGUCUCGGGCGAGGUCGGGGCAGCACCUGUCACGAAUUUGAACCGUCUGAUCUCCAUUCU
rnacentral:misc_RNA from 1 species